rnacentral:lncRNA from 1 species
GUGCUGUGUGGUAAUGGGUCCCAGGAGGGGGCAGGGGUGCUGGGGUAAAUGGUUGACUCAAAGCUCCUCCCCCCAGGCUGCCCCGGGUGUCCCUACCAUCUGAGACACAUUGCCUGCCCCCGCCUCCCCGAUGGGCCAGCAGUGCCAGGCUUUUGAGGCCAAAGGAAAGGCCGUGCUGGUGGGCACCACGUGGCCAGGCACAGGCCAAGGGCCCAGGAGUGCGCUACACACAGAGGCUGGGGCCUAAAUGCCAGAUAGCCCUUCCUAAACAUCGGCUAAAACCAUCUUCGCAGAGGGGUGUUGUAGGUGAUCUUCUUUAUCUGGCCAGUUUUUCUCUAUUUUUCAUUUUUUCAAUUAAGAAUGUGGGGGUUUUUUUUGGUAAAACAACAGCAAAAUGUUACUAAAAAUCCAUGCAAGGGCUGGGCUUGGUGGUUUGAAGCUGGUGGAAUCUCAGGGAGGACAUAGCCUGUCCUAUUGCAGGGAAGGUGCGGCCCUCACUCCCGUCUCAGCCUGGGGGCAUGAGAACUCUGAGCACAAAGAGGACGGAGCUGGUCCCCAGCUUUCUGGCCACCCUGUGAGUUUCUUCUCCUGCACCUGAGCCUCAGCUCAGCUCUUGACCAAGUUGGCCUCUGGUGGCUCAUUCUCCAGGCUGCUCCGGGCUCUCUGGGUGCCCCUGGGCACACCUACGUGGCUUCCUAGGGCUUUGGGAAGGGCCAGACGGUGAGCCCACGCCUUCCCUGGUUCUCCAGAGCCUGCCUUGGGGCUGGGGAGGGCCUGGCCCUGAUGGCAGCUCAGGCCUCAAGUCCAUUCUGUGGCACAGAGGCCCUUCCGUCUCCCUGUGGCCUCCGCUGCUCUGUGUGGUUCACCCCUGCUGUGUCAAGGGCCCUUGUUCUGCUGAACCCCCUCUGGCUGCCACAGGGGUCCUCACGCACCCAAGAUCAACCCUUCUCAAAUGCAUCUAGUUAUUUCCAAGUCUCUUGGGAACAAGGCUUUUCCCACCACUGUCAGCACGGCACCCAGGCCUUUAGUGCAGACGGUGACAGUGAAUGUGACUUGACUCCCCCCACCCCGAAUCUCCAGAAGCUGCGUGCACCUUUCCAGGGUCCCCACGCCUGGGAGGCUCACAGGCCACGCCCACCCGUGUCUCCCCAGCCUGCGUCAACCCUCACCUGCUAAAGUCUCCUAAUGGACACCCCCACCCCUGAGCUCCUGGAGCUCAGCCCUGGGGGGUCACCGUGGCCCCGGGGCUGCCUUUGUGGGACUGAGUGUGACAACAGGAGAGCAAUGGGGUACAGGGGGAGGGAGGCCCACGUGAUCUGGUUCCCACGGUCCCUCCACAGGGGGACACUCCGGGCCUGCUAUGUCCAGCUGCCUUCCCCACCUCACUGGCACAUGGAGCCUGGAGCCCCCACUGGGCAGAUGCACAAGAGGGGAGGGUACUGGACAUUGCAUGCUC